GCUGAUGUAGCUCUAGCGGUAGAGCGCAUCCAUGGUAAGGAUGAGGUCGCGGGUUCAAAUCCCGCCAUCAGCUCCA
rnacentral:tRNA from 1 species